rnacentral:rRNA from 1 species
AGGUUACUGCUAUCGGUGUUCGCCUAAGCCAUGCGAGUCAUAUGUUCGUAAGAACAUGGCGUACUGCUCAGUAACACGUGGAUAACCUGCCCUUGGGUCCGGCAUAACCCCGGGAAACUGGGGAUAAUUCCGGAUAACGCACAUAUGCUGGAAUGCUUUAUGCGUAAAAUGGAUUCGUCUGCCCAAGGAUGGGUCUGCGGCCUAUCAGGUAGUAGUGGGUGUAAUGUACCUACUAGCCUACGACGGGUACGGGUUGUGAGAGCAAGAGCCCGGAGAUGGAUUCUGAGACAUGAAUCCAGGCCCUACGGGGCGCAGCAGGCGCGAAAACUUUACAAUGCGGGAAACCGUGAUAGGGGGACACCGAGUGCCAGCAUCCUAUGCUGGCUGUCCGGGUGUGUAAAAUACACCUGUUAGCAAGGGCCGGGCAAGACCGGUGCCAGCCGCCGCGGUAACACCGGCGGCCCGAGUGGUGAUCGUGAUUAUUGGGUCUAAAGGGUCCGUAGCCGGUUUGGUCAGUCCUCCGGGAAAUCUGACAGCUUAACUGUUAGGCUUUCGGAGGAUACUGCCAGACUUGGAACCGGGAGAGGUAAGAGGUACUACAGGGGUAGGAGUGAAAUCUUGUAAUCCCUGUGGGACCACCUGUGGCGAAGGCGUCUUACCAGAACGGGUUCGACGGUGAGGGACGAAAGCUGGGGGCACGGACCGGAUUAGAUACCCGGGUAGUCCCAGCCGUAAACGAUGCUCGCUAGGUGUCAGGCAUGGCGCGACCGUGUCUGGUGCCGCAGGGAAGCCGUGAAGCGAGCCACCUGGGAAGUACGGCCGCAAGGCUGAAACUUAA